AGAGUUUGAUCCUGGCUCAGGAUACAACGCUAGCGGCAGGCCUAAUAACAUGCAAGUCGAGGGAGAAGUUAGGUGCUUGCACUUGAUGGGAACCGGCGAACCGGUGCGUAACACGUAUGCAACCUACCUAUAACUGGGGGAUAGCCCGAAGAAAUUCGGAUUAAUACCCUAUAAUAUUUAGUCAUCGCAUGAUGAUUAUCUUAAAACUCCGGUGGUUAUAGAUGGGCAUGCGGCCUAUUAGUUUGUUGGUGAGGUAAUGGCUCACCAAGACUACGAUAGGUAGGGGGUCUGAGAGGAUGAUCCCCCACACUGGUACUGAGACACGGACCAGACUCCUACGGGAGGCAGCAGUAGGGAAUAUUGGACAAUGGACGAAAGUCUGAUCCAGCCAUGCCGCGUGCAGGAUGACGGCCCUAUGGGUUGUAAACUGCUUUUAUAUAGGAAGAAACCUUUCCACGUGUGGAAAGCUGACGGUACUAUACGAAUAAGGACCGGCUAACUCCGUGCCAGCAGCCGCGGUAAUACGGAGGGUCCAAGCGUUGUCCCGUAUUUAUUGGGUUUAAAGGGUACGUAGGCGGAAUUUUAAGUCAGUGGGUGAAAGCCUCCAGCUCAACUGGAGAAUUGCCAUUGAAACUGAAGUUCNUGAAUAUGGAUGAGGUGGUUGGAAUAUAACAUGUAGCGGGGAAAUGCUUANANAUGUUN
rnacentral:rRNA from 1 species